rnacentral:rRNA from 1 species
UGGCGGACGGGUGAGUAAUGCGUAGGAAUCUACCUAAUUGUGUGGGAUAGCCUAGGGAAACUUAGGGUAAUACCGCAUAAGCCCUACGGGGGGAAAGGCAGGGGACUGUUAAAGGCCUUGCGCGAUUAGAUGAGCUUACGUCGGAUUAGCUAGUUGGUGGGGUAAAGGCCUACCAAGGCGAUGAUCCGUAGCUGGUCUGAGAGGACGACCAGCCACACUGGGACUGAGACACGGCCCAG